GUGGGCUGGAAAGAUCAAGAAGCA
rnacentral:piRNA from 1 species